rnacentral:rRNA from 1 species
UACGUAGGGGCCUAGCGUUGUCCGGAAUUAUUGGGCGUAAAGAGCUCGUAGGCGGUUCGGCAAGUCGGAUGUGAAAUCUCCACGCUUAACGUGGAGGGGCCAUUCGAAACUGCUGUGACUCGAGUCAGGUAGGGGAGAACGGAAUUCCUGGUGUAGCGGUGAAAUGCGCAGAUAUCAGGAGGAACACCGGUGGCGAAGGCGGUUCUCUGGGCCUGUACUGACGCUGAGGAACGAAAGCGUGGGGAGCGAACAGG